UUGAGCGACGGAGUGACAGCCAAAAACUCCUCGGGCGAACAAAUCUCCAGCUUAUUGACAUUGUCCAACAAGUUUCUGUCUCGGACACGUAUGAACUAGGGAUCAAGAAUCUGCACAUUUGCAGUCUUGAUAUGUCGAUAGACUUUUCCUAUGGCUAUUUCGGAUAUGGAUACUCGAAUCAGCUGAAGAGAUUUGACAAAGAGA